AGAGGAAGUAAAAGUCGUAACAAGGUUUCCGUAGGUGAACCUGCGGAAGGAUCAUUAUCGAGUUUUGAAACGGGUUGUAGCUGUCCUUCGCAAAGGAGGUACGUGCACGCCUUGCUCAUCCACUCUUCAAACCCCUGUGCACUUUUUGUAGGCUUGGUGGGAUAGGCUGACUUCGGUCGGCUUUGAAAGCCUCGCCUAUGUAUUAAAACAAACGCUUCAGUUCAGAAUGUAAACCUUGCAUAAUAAGCAAAUAAAUACAACUUUCAGCAACGGAUCUCUUGGCUCUCGCAUCGAUGAAGAACGCAGCGAAAUGCGAUAAGUAAUGUGAAUUGCAGAAUUCAGUGAAUCAUCGAAUCUUUGAACGCACCUUGCGCUCCUUGGUAUUCCGAGGAGCAUGCCUGUUUGAGUGUCAUGGUAUCAUCAACCUACACCACUUUUGUGUCUGUAGGCUUGGACUUGGAGGUCGUGUCGGCGUUCGCGUCGGCUCCUCUGAAAUGCAUUAGCGUGAAUCUUUACGAAUCGCCCUCGGUGUGAUAAUUUCUACGCCGUAGACGUGCAGUAUUACAGUGUUCGUGCUUACAAUCGUCCGCGAGGACAACAUUAUCAUUUGACAAUCUGACCUCAAAUCAGGUAGGACUACCCGCUGAACUUAAGCAUAUCAAUAA
rnacentral:rRNA from 1 species